rnacentral:rRNA from 1 species
GACGUAGGGCGCGAGCGUUGUCCGGAUUUAUUGGGCGUAAAGCGCUCGCAGGUGGUUCGAUGCGUCGUGCGUGAAAGACCCCGGCUCAACUGGGGAGGGUCACGCGAUACUGAUCGACUCGAAGGCAGGAGAGGGAAGUGGAAUUCCCGGUGUAGUGGUGAAAUGCGUAGAUAUCGGGAGGAACACCAGUGGCGAAGGCGACUUCCUGGCCUGUUCUUGACGCUGAGGCGCGAAAGCUAGGGUAGCAAAC